CUGUAUAAUGUGAACAAAUUCACACAUUAGUUCUGUAUUGUUAUAUUUACAGCGCACAAAACCGAUUUCAAAAAGAGCUAUUGUUGACAUUAUUCACUUCUUACCUGUUACUUUGCUUUUAUUGUUGUAGUUUUUGAAUGAUUUUUAAUUAUUUGGCACUUACAUAUCAUUGUUUAUUUUUCAUUGAAGCCCCGGAACAAAUUCUGGAAAUGCCAACAGCUCAAGUAAAAAGAGAUCAAGAGAGUAAUGUUGGCGACCCUACAAUGUAUGAAAAUUCAGCGACGACAAGAGCAGAGAACGUUUCUCCAUAUGCUGAGCUGGACGUACACACCAUCGCAACGUCAACAUCCUACGAGAUGAUAAAGCAUACUAUGUGACAUAAUAAUCUAAAUAAGAAGUACUAUUUGACAAGAUGUUUAUUUAUCCGAGAAAUAUUAUCAUAAAGCAUUUUAGUCUAGCCUUUCAUAAUAGCUCUUGAUUUUUUUGCCUGGUAGGUAUGCUUGAAGUUAGCACCAAUGCACCAAUGUUUAAAAAUAUAACACAAGUUCAAAUUAUUUCACUAUGGAAGAGAGUGGUACAAUGGUGAAGAACAAAGGGUAGUGUCAACGAAUUGGAAAAGGGAUUUGAUGAAAUUCAAUCUGAAGAUAAUGAUAUCCUUCAAUUAACGUUUAAAAAGGCCUUUGAGAAAGCGAAAGUUGUUUUGAUGUAAUUUAUACGAUGUUUGGGUGUUGUUUUUUUUAAUAUAUACAAAUAACCGGUAGCAUGAAGGUGGAGCUAGCGUUCGGAUAAAUUACAACGACCUUCACUUACACCGCAAGCAAGUUUUGUCAACAUGGUUCAACACAGUUAUUUCUUCAAUUAACCUAUUGAUUUAAAUUAUAUUCUCGUGUCAAAAUCAAUAACUAAGGUUCUGUGUUUAAUAACCAUUACAUAGACAAUUGUGUAAAUAUAUUCUGAAUUGAAUUUAAACAUGUUUAAAAAUGAAAUUGAGUUGUGAACUGAAUCGUUAGUAGUUAUAUGUUGCACUCAAUUUUAACAUUGUUGUUUAAUAUACAUUUUUUUAAAUGAAUGGCAAUUAAAUACAUUUUUGUUAUAAACAACAAGAAACGUAAAAAUAUAUAAGAAAUAAAAAUGCUUUUUAAAUAUGGAUUCCGACCGGCCAUCUUUGGCAACAAUAGGUGUCUGUCAUUGGUUUAACCAGUAUUUAAAAGACCAAUGUUAUUACACAGAACAUGUAUAUAUGCAAGUGUAUAAAAACAUGCAGUACACAUUCCAAAAUAUUAACACAUACACCUGCAAUUUAGAAUUAUAGAUUUACAGAAUUUAGAAGUAAGCAAAAUGCUUUUUCUAACACUCUCUUCUGUAUGUUAUAACUGAUUUAUCGGUGCAUUAUACUAAUAAUGUAUGCAUGCAUAAAAUGAGUUAACAAAACAUAAGUUAGCCUAAACAAAAGUUGUUGUCUUAUUUUAUGUUUACCGGUGGGUUAUAGUGAUUUAUCAGUGAUACAAAAAUAAUAUUAACAAACAGUGAAAUAAUAUUUUAAUAUGUGUUAUAUAUAUGAACAUGGUGAAAGAUAUACU